AUUGAACGCUGGCGGCAUGCUUUACACAUGCAAGUCGAGCGGUAACAGGCCUUCGGUUUCUGACGAGUGGCUAACGGGUGAGUAAUGCAUCGGAACGUACCCAGAGGUUGGGGAUAACGCAGCGAAAGCUGUGCUAAUACCGCAUGUGAUCUGAGGAUGAAAGCGGGGGAGCGAGCAGCAAUGUUUGGCCUCGCGCCUUUGGAGCGGCCGAUGUCGGAUUAGCUAGUUGGUGGGGUAAAGGCCUACCAAGGCGACGAUCCGUAGCUGGUCUGAGAGGACGACCCGCCACACUGGGACUGAGACACGGCCCAGACUCCUACGGGAGGCAGCAGUGGGGAAUUUUGGACAAUGGGCGCAAGCCUGAUCCAGCAAUGCCGCGUGCGGGAAGAAGGCCUUCGGGUUGUAAAACGCUUUUGGCAGGAACGAAACGGUGUCCGCUAAACCAGGGCGCUAAUGACGGUACCUGAAGAAAAAGCACCGGCUAACUACGUG
rnacentral:rRNA from 1 species